AACGAACGCUGGCGGCAUGCCUAACACAUGCAAGUCGAACGAAGGCUUCGGCCUUAGUGGCGCACGGGUGCGUAACGCGUGGGAAUCUGCCCUUUGGUUCGGAAUAACAGCUGGAAACGGCUGCUAAUACCGGAUGAUGACGAAAGUCCAAAGAUUUAUCGCCAGAGGAUGAGCCCGCGUUGGAUUAGAUAGUUGGUGGGGUAAAGGCCUACCAAGCCGACGAUCCAUAGCUGGUCUGAGAGGAUGAUCAGCCACACUGGGACUGAGACACGGCCCAGACUCCUACGGGAGGCAGCAGUGGGGAAUAUUGGACAAUGGGCGCAAGCCUGAUCCAGCAAUGCCGCGUGAGUGAUGAAGGCCCUAGGGUUGUAAAGCUCUUUUACCCGGGAAGAUAAUGACUGUACCGGGAGAAUAAGCCCCGGCUAACUCCGUG
rnacentral:rRNA from 1 species